rnacentral:lncRNA from 1 species
UAGUAGACAUGGGGUUUCACCAUGUUGCCCAGUCCAGUCUCAAACUUCUGGCUCAAGCAGUCCUCCCGCCGCCCCUGGAUCCUCCUGGAAUCCCCGAUCCCUGUUGCUCCCUGGCGGAGUUUUCUAGUCCCUCUUACUUGAAGCAUGUCUUUCAGAGCCCGGCACCACCCAUCUUGAGUAUCUGGUGAGUUCUGUGGUCUGCAUGUCCAUGUUUGGGACAUUCUGGGAAGGGUGGCCCAGGCUGUGAUUUGCCAUCUACUGCAGGCUAUGGAUGGUAUUCAGAAGGGAGGGGAGAUGCUGUGUGCGUGUUCUGAAGGGUUUCCCACUAAAUGGAGAGACUGACUCUCUCCAUAAGUAUUUGAUUUUUACUUUAUCUCCUCGUUGACUUCACAGUGUCAGUGCAGUUUGUGUAAACAUCUCUAUGGGGUGAUGCAUGCAGAUAAAUGUUUAUGUGAACAUAUAAAGUCUGCAUGUGUGGGUGAACACUCCACAUCAGGUCAUUGUCCAUCAUUACAUAUCUAUGGUGUCUGGCUCAUUCGUCUCGUUUUCUGUCAUUUUACCUACUUUUA